rnacentral:lncRNA from 1 species
AUUUUCACUGUCAUCAAUCCACCACCGCCAGAGGUCUCACCAUCACCCCUACAUAACCUCUCUUCUUUCCCUUUCCCCUCUUCGCUCUUCUCUCUUUUGCUUCUUUAUUGUCGCUGGCUCGCCGGAGUUAUGGCCGGCGAGACCGCCCCUUAAAUUCGAUCCAUCACCACCCCUCUUUUUCUAUUUUUCUCAGACCAAAC